rnacentral:lncRNA from 13 species
GUCACUGAUUUUGAAUGCUUGUUUUGUUGUCGUAGGGCUGGGAGGACCUGCUGCCUGAGGAGAGGGAGGUUCCUCUGCUAAACCUCUACCUUACCACCAAGAGAGUGGAGGACAUCGCCCUGAGGCUCGUCUCCUUGCGCCAGGCCUUUACUGUGAGUGGACCCACUUUUAUUUUUCUCUCUGUGACUUCUUGUUCUGUCUCCUAGAGGAAGAUGUCUCACCCUAACUCUUCCCUAGACCCUGCUUGGUUCCACCCUGAGCAGGAAUCAUCUGUUUGUGGCGGGAAAAGUCCUCCUGGGCGGCCUUGUUCAGGCCAACCACAUGGUAACUCACUAACUCAUUCUCUUUCAAGGGAAAGAGAGCGUCCCAGAGGGGAAAUGUGUUCUGUUCACUAAGAUGCUCUUUUCUUUGUCAUAGGACGAGGCCAAAUUCAUCCGUACCUAUAACGACUUUGUGGACUACCGGAGUGACCCCUCCAAGCGGAAUGACAUUGAGAGGGAGCUGGCUGAGGCAAAGGUGAGUUCAUUAACUCUUUCAAGUCUCACCGAGUUCUUCCACAUGCAAGUCUUUUAUACAUCACAGUAGCUGAUAUUUAUGAAAUCAUUCCUAUUUUCUCCAAACGUGUUUUCUUGUCCUAGAUCCAUCAUGUGAACAUGCUAGAUGUCCUCUUUGAGCUGGUGCUGUUUGGGAUGAUGACAGCUCAGAAGUCCCUGAUGGUGCACCCUGGUGGGUUCGUGGAGCGUCUGUACGCUCUCCUGUACUCCUUCCUGCCCACUGCUGCCAACAUGGAGCCAGAGGCUGAUAGAUACCUACUGCUGCUCAAUGAUUAUUGUGACACUUUGCCACCCAACAGGGAUCUAGACACCAAUGAACUACAUUACUUUGCACUGAAUUUGACAUUUUUUAAAUAAAAGUUGUAGUUCAUAAACAUUUGUUUCCGUCUUUUCAUCUAUUUGAUUUUAUGACCAUUUCCUCUUCCUAGAGGUAUAAUGCUAAUAUUAGAAUAUUAACUGAACAAUGAUGCUUUAUUAUCUGCAUAUGGAAAUAAAAAACAACGUUUAGUUUGAUUUACAGAUACUACAGGCCCACACUUUAUAUGGUUUUGUACGGGCGUUUGUGAUACUGGGGCGGCAGUGGUUAGAGCGUUGGACUAGUAACCGGAAGGUUGCAAGUUCAAACCCCCGAGCUGACAAGGUACACAUCUGUAGUUCUGCCCCUGAACAGGGGCCAUCAUUGAAAAUAAGAAUUUGUUCUUAACUGACUUGCCUAGUUAAAUAAAAAAAUACUGUACUAUUAAAAAAACAUGUAGGAUGACAUACACUGAGUCCACAAUAGACUAGGAACAUCUUCCUAAUAUUGAGUUGCACACUCUUUUCCCCUCAGAACAGCCUAAUUUCCUCUGGGCAUGGACUCGACAAGCUGCCCUAAGCGUUCCACAAGGAUGCUGGCCCAUGUUGUGUCAAGUUGGCUGGACGUCCUUUGGGUGGUGGACCAUUCUUGAGACACAUGGAAAAAAACAGCAGUGUUGCAGUUCUUGACACACUUAACCCGGUGCGCCUGGCACCUACUAACAUACCCCGUUCAAAGACAGUUAAAUAUUUUCUCUUGCUGAAUCACCCUCUGAAUGACACACACAAUCCAUGUCUCAAUUCUCUCAAGGUUUUAAAAUCUUUCUUUAACUCCCCUUCAUCUACACUGAUUGAAGUAG